UCCGAAUACUGUACACUAGUCCAAAAAGAUUUAUUCGGUAGCCCACAAUGUCUCUGUCUGUUCAAGUAUGUAUUCUCAUGGUUCUCAUCAUGACAGUUUAUAGUCAAGUUUUACCAACCACCUUUACAGGCGGACCAGGUUCUGUAACCAACAGUCAGACCAAUCCAGGUUUAUUUCCUAACCCAUUCGGGCAACAGGGGUCCAACCAAAUCGACCCUCUUACACUACUAUUGUUGACUCGAGGAGAAGGUGGAAUCAGACGUUUUCUUCCAUUUCUCUUAUCUGGACAAUCUGGACAGAACAACCAACUUUUAAACAUUCUUCUGUUGAGGAGUCUCUCUGGAUAAUUGUUCUAUUAAAUCUGUCUGGAUCAAGUUUUACGGAUU